rnacentral:tRNA from 3 species
GCCCCCGUUGUGUAGCGGCCUAGCACGCCGCCCUCUCACGGCGGUAGCGCCGGUUCGAAUCCGGUCGGGGGUACCA